rnacentral:tRNA from 1 species
GCGGCUGUAGCUCAGCGGAUAGAGCAGCCUACUGACGAAAGGCAGGUGGUGGGUUCGACUCUCACCAGUCGCA